rnacentral:rRNA from 1 species
GAUGAACGCUAACGGCAGGCUUAACACAUGCAAGUCGAGGGGUAUAGGUUUUCGGACCUAGAGACCGGCGCACGGGUGCGUAACGCGUAUGCAAUCUACCUUUCACAGAGGGAUAGCCCAGAGAAAUUUGGAUUAAUACCUCAUAGUAUAGCGGUUUCGCAUGAAACCACUAUUAAAGUUCCAACGGUGAAAGAUGAGCAUGCGUCCCAUUAGCUAGAUGGUAAGGUAACGGCUUACCAUGGCUACGAUGGGUAGGGGUCCUGAGAGGGAGAUCCCCCACACUGGUACUGAGACACGGACCAGACUCCUACGGGAGGCAGCAGUGAGGAAUAUUGGUCAAUGGACGCAAGUCUGAACCAGCCAUGCCGCGUGCAGGAUGACGGUCCUAUGGAUUGUAAACUGCUUUUGUACGAGAAGAAACAACAUUACGUGUAAUGUCUUGACGGUAUCGUAAGAAUAAGGAUCGGCUAACUCCGUGCCAGCCGCCGCGGUAAGAC